GUUUUGUUUGGAAUGAAACAGAAGGAUACAGCAUACUUACAGUUCACAGCUUGUUCUGGCACCUGGGCAGUGCAUGGUACUGUCUGUCCUCGGAGGACCUUUUGGAGAGGGGAGAAUCAAAAAAGCCCAUUCAGCUUAUCUGAAGAAGAUGAGAUGUGAUGUUUUCAAUUAACAACAUGGGAAUAACACUUACA